rnacentral:tRNA from 1 species
GCACCCGUAGCUCAGCUGGAUAGAGCGCUCCCCUCCGGAGGGAGAGGCCGGAGGUUCAAAUCCUCUCGGGUGCACCA